AGGGCUUUUCCAAGCUCAGCAGUUCCAGGAUUCCAUGGGAGCUGUCUUGAGCACGCUGUCUUCCAUGGCCAUCCAUGGGUGUAUCCUCAAAACCUGCUGGGAUUUCCCUUGCCCAGCUCUGUCCUGCUCCUUCUGACUCUUCCCCCUGCUGAUCGUGCUGGGCCAGGAGGAGGGAGCCAGCGGAGAAGGGAGCCUGGGAAGGCAGCAGGCUGCUGCUGCUGGCUCUGGGGGGCAGGAGAGGAGAGAAUUCCAGGGCAGGAGCAGCGUUUUGGCUGCUCCAGGGAGAGCUGGGCUGCUCUGCCAGGGCUCCUCGCUGGAAUUCUGUGGCUGCGCAGCGCUCGGAGAGGAAGGAAGGCUCUGGAAUGGGCAGGUGGUGAGCAGAGCCCAAUCCUGCCCUGGGGCUCUGCCUGUGCUGCAGCUGCAGACCUCUGGAUUCCCUGCCCUGUGAAUGAACAUAAAAAACCAGUUUUCUCUUCAGGGCAGCACAUCAGGGAGUUUUUCCCCUCGGUUUGCCGCGGCGCCGGGAGCCAAAUCCUUCAUGCGUGUCCCAGCAGGGCUGGGCUUCUCUGCUCCGUGUCCUGGGGGGCCACAAAGACCUGGUGCCACCUGGCCUGUGCCACCUGUGAUCCAGGGGGAUGUGCCCACCUUGGAGCUGCAGCUGCUGGAAAUGCCUGCGUGGGCCCAUUUUGGAGGUGCUGCCAUCCUCAAGUGUCACUGGUGAGCUCCUUGCCUGUAUCCAGCAUCCACAGAGCUGCAUCCCUGUGGUCCUUGGAUGCAGGAGGAGGUGGGAGAAGCCCACAGGUAAAUAAUUUCCCAAGCUUUGGGCUGGAAUCAGCACACAGAAGGAUUGGGCAUCGAGUGCUGCAGCGCUCACAAUGUGCUGGUUCCAUCCUCUGCCAAGAGCCCGCAGGAAAACCUGGCACAAUUCCACACAGGGAGCAGCCCUGGCCCGGCCCCAGGGGCUGCCCCUGCUCUGUUUUUCCCUCAGUACCUUCCCACAGAGCUGGUAAAUCCCAGAGAAUCUUCCUCCAGCCUUUCUCCAUCCUGGAGUGUGGCAGAGCCACUGUCCCCCCUUACACCCCCUGUGUGACCAUCCAGGAAAGCUCAGCUAUCCUGAAAUGUUAAAAGCACUGAAGGUUGGAGCCCUCAGCACCCUCCCAGCCAGGAAUUCCCAAUCUCCCAUCCAUCCCUGCCCUCUGGCACUGGGAGCCAUUCCCUGGGUCCUGUCCCUCCAUCCCUUGUCCCCAGUCCCUCUCCAGCUCUCCUGGAGCCCCUGCAGGCCCUGCAAGGGGCUCUGAGCUCUCCCUGGAGCCUUCUCCUCUCCAGGUGAACAUUCCCAGCUCUCCCAGCCUGGCUCCAGCCCUUGGAGCAUCUCUGUGGCUUCUCCAGGACUCGUUUUUAUGUUGGGACACCCAGAUCUGCCUUUCCUCUCAGUGGAGGGGCUAAAAGCUCUAAGCCUUCAUUUUUAUUCUCCUUUUUCUCUCUUCUCCGGAAGCUGCACAGCUCUGAUGGAUUCAUCCCAUCGGUCACACUGGCUUUAGCCUUAUCCAUUGGCUUGGAAUCUCUGUCAUCCCCUGCUUCCAUUGGGUGCUGCAGCAUCUCCCUCUGGAUUAGCCUGUCCAAGCCCAGCCACAAAUGGAGACCCAAGAAAAGCUGCUGGAAACUUUAAUUUCAUACCAGUUUCUUCCUAACAUCCAGUUAAAUCCAUCUUCCUUUGGCUUAAGGAUGUUGUCCCUUGUCCUGGCAGUCCAG
rnacentral:lncRNA from 1 species